rnacentral:rRNA from 1 species
AUGAACGCUGGCGGCGUGCUUAACACAUGCAAGUCGAACGAUUAAAGCUCACUUCGGUGAGUGUAUAGAGUGGCGAACGGGUGAGUAAUGCAUCGGAACGUGCCCAGUCGUGGGGGAUAACGCAGCGAAAGCUGUGCUAAUACCGCAUGUGAUCUGUGGAUGAAAGCAGGGGACCGCAAGGCCUUGUGCGAUUGGAGCGGCCGAUGUCAGAUUAGCUAGUUGGUAGGGUAAAAGCCUACCAAGGCGACGAUCUGUAGCUG